rnacentral:rRNA from 1 species
GGGUUGUGAGGUUAAGCGACUAAGCGUACACGGUGGAUGCCCUGGCAGUCAGAGGCGAUGAAGGACGUGCUAAUCUGCGAUAAGCGUCGGUAAGGUGAUAUGAACCGUUAUAACCGGCGAUUUCCGAAUGGGGAAACCCAGUGUGUUUCGACACACUAUCAUUAACUGAAUCCAUAGGUUAAUGAGGCGAACCGGGGGAACUGAAACAUCUAAGUACCCCGAGGAAAAGAAAUCAACCGAGAUUCCCCCAGUAGCGGCGAGCGAACGGGGAGGAGCCCAGAGCCUGAAUCAGUGUGUGUGUUAGUGGAAGCGUCUGGAAAGGCGCGCGAUACAGGGUGACAGCCCCGUACACAAAAAUGCACAUGCUGUGAGCUCGAUGAGUAGGGCGGGACACGUGGUAUCCUGUCUGAAUAUGGGGGGACCAUCCUCCAAGGCUAAAUACUCCUGACUGACCGAUAGUGAACCAGUACCGUGAGGGAAAGGCGAAAAGAACCCCGGCGAGGGGAGUGAAAAAGAACCUGAAACCGUGUACGUACAAGCAGUGGGAGCCUCUUUUAUGGGGUGACUGCGUACCUUUUGUAUAAUGGGUCAGCGACUUAUAUUCUGUAGCAAGGUUAACCGAAUAGGGGAGCCGAAGGGAAACCGAGUCUUAACUGGGCGUUAAGUUGCAGGGUAUAGACCCGAAACCCGGUGAUCUAGCCAUGGGCAGGUUGAAGGUUGGGUAACACUAACUGGAGGACCGAACCGACUAAUGUUGAAAAAUUAGCGGAUGACUUGUGGCUGGGGGUGAAAGGCCAAUCAAACCGGGAGAUAGCUGGUUCUCCCCGAAAGCUAUUUAGGUAGCGCCUCGUGAAUUCAUCUCCGGGGGUAGAGCACUGUUUCGGCAAGGGGGUCAUCCCGACUUACCAACCCGAUGCAAACUGCGAAUACCGGAGAAUGUUAUCACGGGAGACACACGGCGGGUGCUAACGUCCGUCGUGAAGAGGGAAACAACCCAGACCGCCAGCUAAGGUCCCAAAGUCAUGGUUAAGUGGGAAACGAUGUGGGAAGGCCCAGACAGCCAGGAUGUUGGCUUAGAAGCAGCCAUCAUUUAAAGAAAGCGUAAUAGCUCACUGGUCGAGUCGGCCUGCGCGGAAGAUGUAACGGGGCUAAACCAUGCACCGAAGCUGCGGCAGCGACACUGUGUGUUGUUGGGUAGGGGAGCGUUCUGUAAGCCUGUGAAGGUGUACUGUGAGGUAUGCUGGAGGUAUCAGAAGUGCGAAUGCUGACAUAAGUAACGAUAAAGCGGGUGAAAAGCCCGCUCGCCGGAAGACCAAGGGUUCCUGUCCAACGUUAAUCGGGGCAGGGUGAGUCGACCCCUAAGGCGAGGCCGAAAGGCGUAGUCGAUGGGAAACAGGUUAAUAUUCCUGUACUUGGUGUUACUGCGAAGGGGGGACGGAGAAGGCUAUGUUGGCCGGGCGACGGUUGUCCCGGUUUAAGCGUGUAGGCUGGUUUUCCAGGCAAAUCCGGAAAAUCAAGGCUGAGGCGUGAUGACGAGGCACUACGGUGCUGAAGCAACAAAUGCCCUGCUUCCAGGAAAAGCCUCUAAGCAUCAGGUAACAUCAAAUCGUACCCCAAACCGACACAGGUGGUCAGGUAGAGAAUACCAAGGCGCUUGAGAGAACUCGGGUGAAGGAACUAGGCAAAAUGGUGCCGUAACUUCGGGAGAAGGCACGCUGAUAUGUAGGUGAAGUCCCUCGCGGAUGGAGCUGAAAUCAGUCGAAGAUACCAGCUGGCUGCAACUGUUUAUUAAAAACACAGCACUGUGCAAACACGAAAGUGGACGUAUACGGUGUGACGCCUGCCCGGUGCCGGAAGGUUAAUUGAUGGGGUCAGCGCAAGCGAAGCUCUUGAUCGAAGCCCCGGUAAACGGCGGCCGUAACUAUAACGGUCCUAAGGUAGCGAAAUUCCUUGUCGGGUAAGUUCCGACCUGCACGAAUGGCGUAAUGAUGGCCAGGCUGUCUCCACCCGAGACUCAGUGAAAUUGAACUCGCUGUGAAGAUGCAGUGUACCCGCGGCAAGACGGAAAGACCCCGUGAACCUUUACUAUAGCUUGACACUGAACAUUGAGCCUUGAUGUGUAGGAUAGGUGGGAGGCUUAGAAGUGUGGACGCCAGUCUGCAUGGAGCCGACCUUGAAAUACCACCCUUUAAUGUUUGAUGUUCUAACGUGGACCCGUGAUCCGGGUUGCGGACAGUGUCUGGUGGGUAGUUUGACUGGGGCGGUCUCCUCCUAAAGAGUAACGGAGGAGCACGAAGGUUGGCUAAUCCUGGUCGGACAUCAGGAGGUUAGUGCAAUGGCAUAAGCCAGCUUGACUGCGAGCGUGACGGCGCGAGCAGGUGCGAAAGCAGGUCAUAGUGAUCCGGUGGUUCUGAAUGGAAGGGCCAUCGCUCAACGGAUAAAAGGUACUCCGGGGAUAACAGGCUGAUACCGCCCAAGAGUUCAUAUCGACGGCGGUGUUUGGCACCUCGAUGUCGGCUCAUCACAUCCUGGGGCUGAAGUAGGUCCCAAGGGUAUGGCUGUUCGCCAUUUAAAGUGGUACGCGAGCUGGGUUUAGAACGUCGUGAGACAGUUCGGUCCCUAUCUGCCGUGGGCGCUGGAGAACUGAGGGGGGCUGCUCCUAGUACGAGAGGACCGGAGUGGACGCAUCACUGGUGUUCGGGUUGUCAUGCCAAUGGCACUGCCCGGUAGCUAAAUGCGGAAGAGAUAAGUGCUGAAAGCAUCUAAGCACGAAACUUGCCCCGAGAUGAGUUCUCCCUGACUCCUUGAGAGUCCUGAAGGAACGUUGAAGACGACGACGUUGAUAGGCCGGGUGUGUAAGCGCAGCGAUGCGUUGAGCUAACCGGUACUAAUGAACCGUGAGGCUUAACCUUACAACGCCGAAGCUGUU